CUGAUCGAUUAGCAUAGAACAGG
rnacentral:snRNA from 1 species